rnacentral:rRNA from 1 species
UACAGAGGGUGCGAGCGUUAAUCGGAAUUACUGGGCGUAAAGCGCGCGUAGGCGGCUUUGCAAGUCGGGUGUGAAAUCCCCAGGCUUAACCUGGGAACUGCAUUCGAGACUGCAUUGCUAGAGUAUGGGAGAGGGAAGCGGAAUUUCCGGUGUAGCGGUGAAAUGCGUAGAUAUCGGAAGGAACAUCAGUGGCGAAAGCGGCUUCCUGGACCAGUACCGGACGUUCAGGCACGAAAGCGUGGGGAGCAAACAGG